rnacentral:lncRNA from 1 species
GUUGGCAUUGUUGUUUUUGUGGGGUUGCAAGCUCCUUCAACUCUUUCAAUCCUUCCUCUAAUUCCCCCUAAGGGGGUCCUAUUCUCAGUUCAGUGGUUUGCUGCUAGCAUUGGCCUCUGUAUUGGACAUGAUCUGGAUGUGUCUCCCAGGAGAGCUCUACAUCCAGUCCCUUUCCACAUGCAUUUUAUAGCUUCCUCAAUCUUAUCUAGUUUUGGUGGCUGUAUAUAUAUGGACCACAUGUGUGUCAGGCUCGGAAUGGCCAUUCCUUGAGUCGCUGCUCUAAACUUCAGCCUAGAGUUCUUUGGCGUGGAAUCACGUUAGAAACCAAGGUUUAGGCAUAGCAUGCAAAAGCCACAAUAUCUCCAUAAAGAAAAGAAGUCAGUGUGAAGUCAAAGGAGCGACUUUACCAGUUUUGUUUUGUUCUUUUUUCCAUGAAUGAAAGUGGAGGAGAAAUAGCUAGAGACAUGGGCUGGGAGGCUGAGCAAUACACGCUGUGUUGGUAACUGGAGAUCGAAACGAGGCACCGGGGAUGUGAUGAUGUAGCAUGAAGGUAAGCCUAUAGCAUGCCAGCUUUGACAUCAACUAUGAUAUGCAGCUCAAGCCAGUUCCCGCGUGACCUUUCAGACUCCCCUUCACUUGCAUUUGCAAAGCCAAGUGCUAUUGGAUAUUUCAGUGUCUGUUCUGUUCGUUCUGCUUUUUAAUAAGGUCCACUCAAAGAAGCACUUAAAAAUCAAUGAAGGUAGUUAUGGUAAUGGUAGCUAGAGAGCUAUUCCGGAGGGAUUCUAAUGCUCCCAUUUGGGUUUUAUCAGAAUGGUCCUGGCACGGGAAGACAGCAUAAGAGGCAGAGGAGUGGUGUGGUGGGGAGAUUGAGAUUGGAAUGACAUGUCAAAGUCACGGUACCACAGGCAGGAAGGCUCUGCACUUCUGUCCUCCCUAAGCCCAAGUGCAGAGGCUGC